CACACCAGCUCCCGCUCCCGCUCGCCCUCGGCGGAGAGUUGCAGCAGCUGCGGGCUCGCCCGGGGCCGGGGGGGCGCGUGUGCGCUGUGCGCUGUGCGCGUGCAGACGGGGGGCGCAUCGCUAACAAAUCGAACCCGCCAUAAAGGCCCGCCCGGGUCUGCAAACACCCGGCCGCCCUUUGCCGAGAGCCCGCCGGUCGGCUCGCCCCGCACCGCGCACCUGGCCCUGGAGCCGCCGGCUGCAGCCCGAGCGCCCAGCUAGACCGCAGGGUGAACUGCCCAGCGCCCCGGAGGCUUCCCGAGCAGGACCUUACCUCGCCCCAUGGCUCAGGCCUGAGAAGUGCCUCCUGUCAGUCACGGUGCCGUCCCUUGCAUGGCUUGGCAACAUCUCUGUCACUUGGCACCCAGGCUUAUCCUCGUCCUGUGAUUGCUCCUGGUGACUCAUCCAUUUGUGCUUAUAUCCGGUCGUCUGUGGCUCGGGCAGGUGCCGUGCCCAUGAGAGCUGGGCUGCCGACCAAGACGGCAGCAGAGGCCUCUGCCAUGAGCUGGAUUUAUCCUGGUCUGUCCCCUUCACCUUGGAGAGAGCACUUAGGCAUAGAUCACCCCCCUUCGCAGUGAUCGCUUACGGCGUAUGUCAGUAGGAACGUGGUUGCUGAUGGGAGACCCCCUUUGGCUAGCGAAGACAAGAAAGGGGUUUUGUUGAAAGUUCUUAAGUAUCCUCAGAUCCUCAGAAGGGUCAGAAUGCAGGCUUUGAAGCUGGACAGCCAGGAAAGACUUCAACCACACCGUAGGGGCUGCUCUGGCAACACCGCACUGCCGCCGCGUCCAUCCUGAUGACAUUGGGCUUGGACUCUGAAGGCUCAGUCACUGCUGAGCUCCAGGAAGAACUGAAAGCUUCGCCACAGUGUUUUCUAGAAGCUCAGAUCCCUUGGGCACAGCCACCACCACACAAAGCCACAUACUGAAGUCCUGUCUCCCAUGGGUGUGUCUGAUUAGCAGAACCUGGGCCACAUGACUGCAUCCCAACUGUGAAGUGCGGGGAUUUGAGUUUCUGGAAUUGGCCUGGGAAGGUGAGAAUCAUCAUGGGAUGUUAGAGAGAGGGGAUUGGGUGGCCACAAACACAAGACAAACACCUGCUCCACCUGCGGCAGGCUGGACAACAGGCCGAGCACUCCGUGUCUCUCAUUCUACCCUUGUCCUUAUAGUUAGGGAACCAAGUAUCAGCAAGGGGAAGUGACGUGUCCCAGGUUGCAAGGAGCCCAGACUCUAGAACCUUCAUCCACCUUCCAAACUCAGGGUUAGAUGGAAAAAUAUCAACAGAUCCCCAGCCACCUACAUGCACUAAUGCUGGCCUGGGGCCCCAACCACAAGGGAACCAUUUUGUGUGGCAAAUGCAGUCACAGGGUGAGCUCUGUUCUCUUGCUCACUCACUCCUUUGAUUGAAGCAGGAAACCACUUACGGUUCGUCCAUCCAUUCACAGCCAGAUCUUACGAAAUUCGUCAUGUGCUCAUGGUCAGAGGGCUUGGGCUCUGGUGCAGCUUCCUGCUGCUCGGCCUUGGGCCUCGUGCAUUCUCGAGCCUCAUCUGUAAAAUGGGCAUCCAAAUCUCGCCCCACUGUCUUCCCUCCAAGACUGUCAUCUGGAUCAAACGUAAGAGUGCAGAGUCAAUGAGUGAACUGCAGGACAGCUCUUGCUUCAUUGAUCUUAUUCCUCACCAGCAACCUGUGGAUAAAGGAAUCUGAAUGCCUGUUGGCAGUUGCAGUCACUCUGCUUCAAAAGGAGAGAUGAGCAGGGCCAUAGGAGCUCUCGGUGUUGUCUGCUCAGAAAAUACUGGAUGAAGGCUUGUUUCUUUGCCUUGAAUGGAGACCACACCCCAUGGACCAUUAACAGAUGCUACUGGGGACGGAUGGCCACAGUCUGUCUGCGUCCACCUGGGUGCAGGCAGCAGCAAAGACCCCCAAACAGUGCCAUUCUUGGGUUAUCCACAGGCAGAGUGCUGGUCCCGCAGGGCAGUUCAGAGCAGGAAGCCAAGGCCUCCCUGGGGGGGAGAUGUGGACAGGGAAGGCCCAUGGGCUGCUGGGGAGGGGCGCCCACUGGGGCAGACUGGCCUGGCCUUGGAGCUGCUACGGGAGGUGCCUUGAUCAGGGUUAUCGGAGAGCCCAGCAGCCUUGCACAUCUGUGGUGAGAUGCUCCAUAGCUCAGCCUCAGAGCCUCAGGCCCCAAAUGUGACUCUCAUGACCCUGCUUCCAGAGGCUUAGAGUCCAGCAGGUGAGAAAGAUAGAUCGACCAAGCUCAACACCAGCCUGCAGCAGAGCAUCUUCAUUUUUACUGACAUCUGCUGUUUUCUUUCCCUCACCAGCAGAAACUCGGUUUUCUUUGGGUGGCGAUGUACCACCCUGAAGAGGCGGUGUAAGCUUUUAAGCCAGAGUUUCUCCGAGGGGGUCAUUGGACCAGCAGCAUCAGCGUCACCUGGGAACUUGUUAGAAAUGCAGACUCUUGGGAUGCCCGGGUGGCUCAGUGGUUCAGUGUCUGCCUUGGGCUCAGGUUGUGAUCCCAGAGUCCCGGGAUC